rnacentral:rRNA from 1 species
ACGCUCGACACCUACUGGAGGCAGCAGUGGGGAAUAUUGCACAAUGGGGGAAACCCUGAUGCAGCGACGCCGCGUGAGCGAAGAAGUAUUUCGGUAUGUAAAGCUCUAUCAGCAGGGAAGAAACUGACGGUACCUGACUAAGAAGCACCGGCUAAAUACGUGCCAGCAGCCGCGGUAAUCUGAGGCGGGCGUGGACGAAGGC